AGCUACAUUUUGUACAAGCAAAGAAGAUGUGGUCCAAGUUGCCCUCAUCCAACCCACAUUCACACAAUGAGUUCGCACGGACACCAAUCAUAGCCAGAAAUAACGGAGUACAUACUUUGCCUAAGCGUAAACGGCAAAUGGUGGAUAUUACCCACUUUGGAGAAGUACGGAAUCGAUAGAACCAUGGUUUUCGAGUAAUUCGAGGUUGUACACAGCCAUAAUGUUUACCAGUCUCCAAUCUAGAGAUAUCCCAUUGCCUCUGCCAUGUAUUAAACAUAUCAGAUAGUGCACAACUCAACAGCCUCAAGAAUAGCAACUGCCUCACCUGUGAAAAUGGACGCUUGAGGAGGACAUUUAAAUGGAAGGACGAUAUUGUACCGUGGAAUCCACACCGCUGCUCCCACACAUCUUGCAGGAUCCACCUUAGAAGCGUCAGUAAAAACCGUGACCUCCAGUGCCAGCGCCUGCAAGCGUGGGAGCAGCAAGUGGUUGUUGUAAGAGCUGGCUUUGAUCAAGAACCUGUCGGCGAGGUAUUGUCUGCGUAGAGCCAACGGCGGUUCAACACCUUCCACCUGCAUGCCAUUUUUGGGAGAGGGAAGCAUAGCACCUAGUAUGAUCCUUAAACAUUUAGCCUGUAUAAGAUCUAAUUUAUCUAGACCAUCCUUAUUACAGGGUUCCAUUAAAAAUGCCCCAUAGUCUAUAUGGCUACGUAUGAUGGCAUUGUAUAGUAGCUUCUGGCAAUAAGGAUGGGAACCCCACCAGACACCCGACAAUGCUCGAAGAAUAUUAAUAUUUUUCUCACAUUUACCCAGUACAUAUUUGUGGUGUGAGGUGCCAGACAUUUUAUGAUCUAAAAUAACACCUAGAAAUUUUACUGACUCUUUAUUUGGAAUCAUCACACCACCAUAACGGACAUCUGCGUCAGGCAUGGUCCUUCUGCGACUGAAAGUCACUACACAGCUUUUUGUUGGCGAUAGGGUCAAACCAUGUUCAUCAAGCCAAUCCUUGAGGUAACCCAAAGCUGUAUUAAGACUAGCAGUGGCUUUGUCCAUUGACUUUGCUGAGGUGUAUAAGACUAGGUCAUCAGCAUACUGCAAGAUAUUACAGAAGGAUAGGACAGAUUGCUCCAAGUCGUAGGUGUAGAUACUGUAAAGCAGGGGGCUGAGUACCGAUCCUUGCGGGAGACCACGCCACAAAGUUCGAGGUGGGUAAUAGGAAUUACCAUUCCUAAUUUUAAUUGACCUACCCAUGAACAAUUUGGUGACAAUAUGUACAAUCUUCGCGGGAAUGCUCAGAUGUAGCAUUUUUGCCCUGAGCACCGGAAGAAGGACAUUGUCGUAGGCCGCAGAGAUAUCUAGAAAACAUCCCAGCAGAUAUUCGUUUUUUGAAAGGGUUAGUCGGAUAUCAGUUGCUAAGAUAUUUAAGCUGUCCAUUGUACUACGACCCUUUCGGAAGCCAAACUGCGUGUCAGCUAGAAUACCCUUGUUUUCCACAAACCAUUCCAAUCUAUUUUUAACCAGAUGCUCUAAUAUCUUUCCCAUUGUCGCGGAAAGAGCAAUCGGGCGAUAUGAGCUAGCUUCGUCUGGGUUUUUAGACGGUUUUAGGAUUGGGAUAAUAACUUGGGUCUUCCAGUCAACUGGGAUCUCUCCCGUGUCAAAGGCAUGGUUUAGAAUACCGAGCAGAUACUCCUGUGAAGAUGAAUUGAGCUUAGACAGGAAACAGUAUGGUAUGCCAUCCUCUCCAGAGGUUCAGGGGACGGAAUUGGAAGAAUAGAAGAAGGCUUCGUGAUAAUAAUUGGGAAAUGGUCACUGCCGAACGACUGGCGUAAUACCCUCCAGGAUAAUAAAGAAGACAAACUAGGAGAACACACAGAUAGAUCGAGGACUGACUGGGGGUUCUGUCCUGGGUAUACCCGAUGCGUGGGAGUACCGUCAUUAAUAACUCCCACAUUGAUUUCAUCGAAUAAAUCCAACAGGGCUGAUGAAAAUGCAUCCGAAUGGUAUGACCCCCAUGACAUAUUGUGACAAUUGAAGUCCCCUAAAAUCAUAAGAGGAGGUGGAACCGAUUUGAGAAUAGAUUUUAAUUCAUAUAUAUCAACUACUUCAGG